rnacentral:rRNA from 1 species
CCUACGGGAGGCAGCAGUAGGGAAUUUUGCGCAAUGGGCGAAAGCCUGACGCAGCAACGCCGCGUGAUCGAGACGCCCUUCGGGGUGUAAAGAUCUGUCAGUGGGGACGAAACUUGACGGUAACCACAGAAGAAGCACCGGCGAACGCCGGGCCAGCAGCCGCGGUAAUAAGGGGGGUGCAAGCGUUGUCGGGAAGCAGUGGGCGUAAAGAGUUCGUAGGCGGCACGUAAAGUCUGGUGUUAAAGGCAGAGGCUCAACUUCUGUACGGCACUGGAUACUUGCGAGCUAGAAUGCGGUAGAGGUAAAGGGAAUUCCUGGUGUAGCAGUGAAAUGCUUAGAUAUCAGGAGGAACAUCGGUGGCGUAAGCGCUUUCCUGGACCGUAAUUGACGCUGAGGAACGAAAGCCAGGGUAGCAAAUGGGAUUAGAUACCCGGGUAGUC